rnacentral:piRNA from 1 species
UCAAGGGCAACCUGAGAAUCUCUCAGA